UGGGGAAUAUUGCACAAUGGGGGAAACCCUGAUGCAGCGACGCCGCGUGAACGAAGAAGGUAUUCGUAUCGUAAAGUUCUGUCCUAUGGGAAGAUAAUGACAGUACCAUAGAAGAAAGCUCCGGCUAAAUACGUGCCAGCAGCCGCGGUAAUACGUAUGGAGCGAGCGUUGUCCGGAAUUAUUGGGCGUAAAGGGUACGCAGGCGGUUUAAUAAGUCGAAUGUUAAAGAUCGGGGCUCAACCCCGCAAAGCAUUGGAAACUGAUAAACUUGAGUAGUGGAGAGGAAAGUGGAAUUCCUAGUGUAGGGGAGAAAUACGUAGAUAUUAGGAGGAAUACCAGUAGCGAAGGCGACUUUCUGGACACAAACUGACGCUGAGGUACGAAAGCGUGGGGAGCAAACAGG
rnacentral:rRNA from 1 species